GAAAUAUGAUGAUCAAAUAAUAGCUGCUAACUAAUUAUUUUUAUGGUUUAACUCCAUUUAUAUUUCU
rnacentral:tRNA from 1 species